UACGGGGGGAGCAAGCGUUGUUCGGAUUUACUGGGCGUAAAGGGCGCGUAGGCGGUCAGCACAAGUCAGUUGUGAAAUCUCCGGGCUUAACUCGGAAAGGUCAACUGAUACUGUGCGACUAGAGUGCAGAAGGGGCAACUGGAAUUCUCGGUGUAGCGGUGAAAUGCGUAGAUAUCGAGAGGAACACCUGCGGCGAAGGCGGGUUGCUGGGCUGACACUGACGCUGAUGCGCGAAAGCCAGGGGAGCGAUCCGG
rnacentral:rRNA from 1 species